UGGGGAAUAUUGCACAAUGGGCGAAAGCCUGAUGCAGCAACGCCGCGUGAGGGAUGACGGCCUUCGGGUUGUAAACCUCUUUUAGUAGGGAAGAAGCGAAAGUGACGGUACCUGCAGAAAAAGCACCGGCUAACUACGUGCCAGCAGCCGCGGUAAUACGUAGGGUGCGAGCGUUGUCCGGAAUUAUUGGGCGUAAAGAGCUCGUAGGCGGUCUGUCGCGUCUGCUGCGAAAACCCGAGGCUCAACCUCGGGCUUGCAGUGGGUACGGGCAGACUAGAGUGCGGUAGGGGAGAAUGGAAUUCCUGGUGUAGCGGUGGAAUGCGCAGAUAUCAGGAGGAACACCGAUGGCGAAGGCAGUUCUCUGGGCCGUAACUGACGCUGAGGAGCGAAAGCGUGGGGAGCGAACAGGAUUAGAUACCCUGGUAGUCCACGCCGUAAACGUUGGGCGCUAGAUGUGGGGACCAUUCCACGGUUUCCGUGUCGCAGCUAACGCAUUAAGCGCCCCGCCUGGGGCAGUACGGCCGCAAGGCUAAAACU
rnacentral:rRNA from 1 species